AAUAAAAUGUCCAAAUUAAGAUCCAAAAUUCAAUUCAAAAUAACAGAAAAGGUGAUUUCUUUUUAUGUACUAUUAUCUAUACAAAAAAAACUUCUUAUUGGUAUCGAGAAAGAUUAUAAUUCUUAUCAGGAUUACGAGUAAAUUGUAAAUUAGUAUAUGAGAAGAAUAUAAUCUUCUGGUUUCUUUUUCAUAUGAGGUGUUUGAAAAACAUUAAGAUGCUCAUUUUAAACAAUAUUUCUUUUUAUUAUCUUUCUAUUCUUUUUAUUAUCAAGUAUUCCAACUGAUUGAACAGAUUAUCAAAUUUUAGAUGGAAACAAAUUAAUUUAGUUGAAUUAGAUAAUUAGCGCGAUAGCGAUUAAGAUUUAUUUAUGAUGCAAAAGGAAAAUUUAAAAAUUAAUGGAAACAGAAAAAUUAUAUAAUAUAGUAUUAAACAAAUCCCUUUUCUUUAAAAAGAAUAAGUCCUGUAUUAAAUAUGUAUAUUUGUGAACAAACUUUGUAAUAGAUUUAAAGAAAUUGAAGAAAUUUCUUGAAGUGAAGUGAAGAAAUUUUGCAAUAGAUUUGUUUAAAGUAAUUUUUGAUAUAUUAUUUAAUCAUGAGCGGAAAUUGAUUUAUUUUAAUAUUGAUGUUGAAAUAGCAUCCAACCAGAAUGUAUUGGAUUCCCGAAAUUAAUUUAAUUUCCAUUAGUAACUGAAUUACUAAACUUUCUCGGAUUAAUGGAUAAUAGUUAUCCAAUUACGAGUUCCUUUUUAUGUAUGGCGCUACAUAAAAUUUAAUCAUUCCCAACACUCGUGCUAUGGAAUUUCUAUGAAGAAUGGUGUAUUCUUGCUUUAACUAGUUAAUUGAAUACUGGAGAGAGAUCAACUGCUCGGAUCAGUCUUUAUUUCUCCGAAUUUAAUCUCGCUUGACUAUUGAAACAAUAUUCUAGGAUUUCUUUUAAAAACUAACAAUUUCGACUUCAAAAGAUAAUCCUCGGAAAAAGUCACAAUGAAUACUAAAACAUUUAUUGAGAACCGUAAAAUUUAAUUUUAAUAUACAUAGAUGCAAGAUUAAUAUUAGUCAAAAGAUUAAAUAUAUGUACCUAUAUGUAUAUCUUUUUUUAUUAUAUUUACGUGGGGUUUUCUAUAAUUCUUUAUGAAGUGGAUAACUCGUUAUACACUGGUAUUCUGUGCUAUUAUUUUUAUUAUAUAUUGUCAAUUUAUUUCGUUCUUUACAUUGCUGUUAUUAUUAUUAUUAUUAUUACUAUUAUUAAUCAUUACUUAAUGAAGCCAGUGACUGUUUCUUGAUGGAAUUGGGUACUUUACGUCAUCUGAUUAUUAUGGCUGCUCCCUCUUUCUUUAACAUAAAUCUUACCUCUGUGUCUUUAAUCAGUUGUACAAUUUAAUGUAUCGUGGCAACAAUCUGAACGACAUUAUUCUAUAAUUCAGAAUAGCUGUUUCUUCUCGCAUUCUGUUUCUCGGUUUCGGUUGUGAGGUACAAAAUAUAUAUAAAGAUAUAAUUUGUAUAAAAUAUAAAAAUAUAUGAAAUUAAUUGCUAUCUAGAACAAUGACUCUUCGAUUAGAUGAAGAAAUUCAACAGAAUAUUUAGAUUUAAUACCCAUUCUUAAUAUGAGGAAAAGAAGAAUUUGAACUAUUUUUAACCAGUUUCGAUCAUUUUUCACACACUCAGCUCUUUCUUUCUUACAUUUUCGGUAUACACAUCAUAAAUGCUAUGAAAAACUCAAACUAAAGGAUAUGACAAUUGAAUCAUUCAAGUGAAACAUUAAUAACUACACGGUAAAAAGCUGGAAGAAAAGUAAACUAAAAAAGGAACUAACUUAAACAAAUAGAAACUGAUUACCUCUUACAUAUUUCGUGGCUAUAUUUUUCUCUCAAAUUUUAAAAAGUACGUACGUAACAAAAAAUAUAUUUUCAUUGAAACUAUUAGCAUAUUAUGUACAUAUUUUUUUCUUUUCUCAGGAAAAGAAUUACUGAUCGCGUAGCUGCUUUUCGUUACCAACUCUAACAGCUGUUUCUCGAAUAUAUCCUCCCUGCUCAUCGUUUCUCCCAUGACAAAUUAUAUUUCAAACGUGGCUGAGCAAAAUAUGAAAAAUUACCUCCUCCAUCUCAUUCUGCAAUUAACAUGGAAAGUCUGAAAAAUCUAAUUCCACUCUGGCAAAAACUCUUUGCUUCAGAGAAACUUAAAAUAAACCAGUGCCUAAUUAAAGAGGAAAAUACGUAUAAAGUAAUAAGUUUCAGCUACUGCUUAUUGAAAAUUCGAUAGAAGCUGUUUUUUCAUCCCUUAAAAUAUAAUUUGUUCUCAGAUAUCGGUGGUCGAGUAGCUGAGCUACGAAGGAAGAACGUUUUUCACUGGCAACUUCGAUAAAUCAAGGAGAGCAGCGAACGAGAGAGCGAGCAAAGAACGAGUCGCAUGAAUGGAACCAGCGGACACACGGGGUGGAAAACGAGGGUGAGGGAGGGAGAGGAAGAGAGAGAGAGAGAAAGAGAGAGAGAGAGUGCCAAGGAAGGAAGGAGGUCAAGAGUGGAACGAAGAGAAACUGGUGAAUGAACGAGAGUCGGAUUCACUAACCUGCUAGUCCACGCAGUCCGGAAACCGAGGAACAACUGAGAGAGGCUUGGAGACCUUCGUGGCUGACUAGUGUACGAUAAAACUCCUUAAUGCUUCAGUACUAGAUAUAUUUUUCAUUACACGACAUAACAAGAUCUAGAAUUGAAUGAAGCUAGAAGACAAAGAAACUUAACGAUAUUUCUCCACCGACACCGCUCAUUUCUUCAUAUCUCGAUGAAGAACCAUUAUUGUCCCAGAAGAGCUAGUCUUAUCGGGGUGGAAUAAUCAACGCAAAACAAUGCCUUUUUAGUCUUCUAACGACGUCAACAGUACUCUCUGAUACAGGUACUUAUGUUGUUGGCGUGAUUCAUCAAUCUUUCGAAAUAACGAUUACGAGAAGGCGGUGGCAGAAAGACACGAGCUUACGUAAAACGUGUAAAGCAUGAAUUUUUGGAAAAGCACAGGGGUAAAUGUCAAUUUUAGGGCAAAGUGGUUGUGCCUACAUUCGUGCGUAUAAUCGAACACAGGGGUGAAACCCCCUCUCUUGUUAGCCACCCACGGCAUUCCAGUAAUCGGGCUACCGUUCCCUCUUCUUCACUCUACCUUUCCCCUCGAUCUUUCAAGGCCCUUCCCCUCUGCUAACCCCGUGUCACAGCAGUGCGGCUGCUGAAUGACCGAAAGUGGGGGUAACUCAUCUCUCCUCUAACUACCCACGCAAUCAAUAGCAGCCUUGCUGCUUCUACUGAAUGGACUCUGCCCUCCACGGCCUCCGCUGCUCUUCGUCUGCUUCGAACCGGCUUCUAUCCCUUUUCACCCUCACUCUAUCGAUUACUACGCCCUUGCCGUGCGAUCUUGCGGGGGGCCGCUCUAUCGACCCAUCCACCUGUAUUACAGUUCAUUCAUAAAUCUUUGCUGCUUUUCACUCGGGAUUGCAGCUUGUUUCUUUCUCUAUUGGUCGUCUAAAGUAUAUUAUUGCAUAUAUUUUCAUAUUUCUACAUCUAGUUGUUGUUUAUCGUAGGAUUUAUAAACAUUAAAAUCUGUAACGAAAAAAAGACACGUGUGCUUGAGUUACGAGGAAUAUCAGAAUACCGUGUAUAUUCUUUCCGUGGUAAUAAAUUGAUAAAUGACUUCUGUUUUAAUAUCGUGCGGUUUUAUGUCAAUAUUUGAAUGAAGAUUGCUUGGCGAAGGCAACUUUUUCUGACUUUCUGUUUGAUGAUAUAAGAAAUGUGGGGUGCUAGCCAAUAUAAUGGUGUUAUAGAUAAGCUUCACCCAUAUAGGAUCCAAUCAGUUCACAGUCGGAAUGAUGAAGAGAUCCUUCAAUAGACAUUUGUUUGGCGAUGAUUGAAAUGAAAUAUUUAGGAUUUCCUUUUAGACAGGAAUUUGUAAUAUUCAAAGAACUAAUCUAAUACAAUAUUUUGUUCAUUUUUAUAUCUUUCCUUUUGAAGAGUAGGGAAGAAUGAGAGAAAGUUAACGAAUAAAUUUUCAAAUAGUUAAUAAAAUGUGUUUAUUACAUUUUUAUUAAAUACUGUACAUUAUUUCAUAAGUUUUAAAUGCACGAGUACGGGUUACAAAUUAAUUGAUGAUAAACAUUAGAUGCAUCUACAAUUAAUCAUCCAGCUAUUAGUUUUAUAGAAUCUUUCAUUUAGCUAAACUCACAUUGUCGCUUACUUAAUUUAACUAAUGUUGUCGAAUAUUGCAA